rnacentral:misc_RNA from 1 species
AAACUUCUAUUCGUUCCUGGGAAAUAUAUAAUAUAUCGCCUCGAGCAAUACGUUUCGCAUAUCCUACUAUCUUCGCGCGUGCAAUCGAGGAUAUAUUUCGCUUGAGCGCUAAUACGUCUAUGAGCCGCUAAUGUCAACGUGGUCGAGCGGAGCACGGAGGAAUAUUUAUAUUGCGUUAUUGGGGUAAGGAUUCACGCGUGCACACGGGGGUGAGCGCGAGAAACAUGAAGACAUACGGCUCGUUCACGAUUGGCUAUGGAGUCGGCGAGGUGUGCGGUGUAUCCCGGACUAGUCCGGAGCCGGCCUGGUUUCAGUCAGCGGCGCAGAUCCGUCGCGUACGCGUCGCUGAUGCCGGCACCGCGCGUCGACCGUUACUACUUGCCGCCGGUAAAAACUAGAAACGCGAGAAACGCCGAAAAAACGCGAGCCUCGGAUGCGUUAAAUCUGAGCUUUGUGAUAACGAUUGAUACGUAAAACGCAUUGUCCCUCGAUGUAGUGAAUACGCUAAAUAUUAAUUUUAACAUCGACAAACAACAAUCGAUCGCCAUCGUUGCGCUUUUCUGGAAUACGGUUUUGUGGACGGAUUUGGACGUGAAUGUAAAAAAAUUAUUAGUGAUAAUAAACAUCGCUCAUUGUGAAUUUUUUAUUUAUUACUGUGUUGAAAAUAAUCGUUUGUUAUUAAAAAUUAAUCCUUGAUCGUGUAACAAUUAUAAAAUUUAUUAAAACUGCAUUGUAAAGAAUACGUUAAAUUCAAAAUGCCCGGAUCUUUAUCGUAAUUAAAUGCGCAAAUAGAAAAUGGAAAAAUAAUUAUUCUCUUACCAGUGAAAAAAUAUCAAACUUUAAUGGUGUUCUUUCUCAAAGUAUAUAAACGGGAUAUCUAGCUAUGUAAACUUGAUAAUUAAACGAGAAUAUUAUUUUCUAGUGUUAUUCAAGAACAUAAAGUAAAGAUUUUUAAUAAUCUUUUUAAUAAUUAUAUGAAGUUAACAUUAUUAAUAAGUAACAUUAAAUUAACAGUAAUAAAAAAGCAAGGUAACUUUCACAAACUACUUAACACUUGAAUAAUAUUUAUCUCGUCAUUUAAAAAAAUUUGAAAAAAUAAAAGCAAAUUAGUUUGAAUUCUUCCGAUAUAAAAUAUUAAAUUUGGGAUAAAAUCGUGAACGUUGUUUAUUUCUACAAUAAUCAGCAGUAAACUGUGCAGACUAAAGUAUCUAUGAGUGGGACUCUGUGUUAUACAUAUUUGGAUAGCAGAGUGAACACGAUUUUACGCGAUGCGAACAUUUUAGUGGGUGUGUCGAUAUAUUCGCAACUUUUGGAAAAUCGAUAAUCACCAAUAGAUAAUUGCAAGUUUCAGAAGACCAAAUUAAAUUACAACCACUGCAGAUGCGAACAAUAAAAAUCACUAAUAUGUUUUCAAUUUACUUUAAGCUGCAAGCUUUUAAUAUUGCUCAAAAGAAUACUGCAAUAAUUGAUUAUCGCUCAAAAAUCUGAUGAGAAAAUUUUUGAUGAAACGCAACAGAAUUGUGGAAAAAGCCACGAAGCGUGAGGCUGUACUGCAAACAUGUAAAAAGUGCUGUGAACUCUAUCGUACCACUGUUUUUGAAUCACAAUUCUAAAUGUGAGAGAACUAGCAAGCGGUAAACAAAACAUUCACGGGGGCAGUGAUAAUAGUUCGAUUAAGUAUCUCAGAGCGAUGUAACGUUCGCUGUAUCAUAGUACUUCCGUCAGCGUGGGUGCAUGUGUCAACGAGGAAGGAAAAGAGAGAUCGAAGCGCACGAGUGACAAGAAAAUGUCGAUUCAGGGGCGCAACCUGUCCGAUAACCCCGUUUCAACAGAAUAUUUCGAUGCUCCGAAGGUCGAUGAUGACUCGCCGAUCGUUACUGGCCUUCCUCAGUUUUCCACCGUCACUUCCGAAAUUGCCAACGUAACCUCGCUAGUCAUCCCGCAAUCAUCGGGCCAGGACAGUCUCCUGGAGAAUCUUAUUAUACCGCUGUACGGUACAAUCUUCUUCCUCUCUAUCGUUGGGAAUUCUUUAGUGCUCAUCACCUUGGCGAGAAAUAAACGGAUGCGCACGGUGACAAAUGUUUAUCUGUUGAAUCUGGCUGUAUCGGAUCUUCUGCUCGGUGUGUUCUGCAUGCCCUUCACUCUCUUGGGUCAAAUUCUCAAGAAUUUCGUUUUCGGUCUCACAAUGUGCAAGCUGAUCCCGUAUUUUCAAGCCGUGUCAGUGUCAGUGGGUGUUUGGACACUGGUUGCCAUUUCGCUCGAACGCUACUUUGCCAUUUGCCGACCAUUAAAAUCGAGAAGAUGGCAGACACAGUUUCACGCUUACAAAAUGAUUGCUGUUGUGUGGACUCUCAGUCUCACAUGGAACGUGCCGAUUCUCGUCGUAUCUCAAUUAAAAAGCUUAAGCGGAGGAAGGCGCAAGUGUCGCGAGGAAUGGCCGAAUGUUGGCGCCGAAAGGGCGUACAAUCUCUUCUUGGACGGCACGUUGCUCCUGAUACCGUUGCUGCUCAUGAGCUUGGCGUAUUCGCUGAUAGCGAUAAAACUUUGGCGCGGUCUGAAGCUCGAAAUACGACAGACGUCGACGUGUACUAGGAGACUCGCGAGAACAGAAUCUAACGCAACAAUUCGGGGCUCAAGUUACAACAACAAUAAUGAUCGCGAUGCAAGGACAACGAUGGUAUUUGAUGCUUGCGGCCCGACUUCGAGAUCGCGGCGGAGCUUCUCGUCUUCCUCGAGGCACUUUCAAGGCGCAUCUCAAGGUGCACCAUCUAGGGUGCGAUUACCACGGACGGUGGUCUCCAGGGUGCUUCCCGGCAAGUGUCACGGUACAGACUUGUCCCAGACAUCCCGGAUUCAGAUACAGGCGAACGGAAGUGGCUGCUUAACGCGGGGCACGAAGGAUAUCGCUAACGAGGAUCAGCAGGACUUGCCCUGUCGGCUCACCCGACAACAGGUGAUACGCAGUAAUUACAUGGGGAAAAGCAUCGAGGCGAAGAAGAAGGUGAUCAGGAUGCUCUUCGUGAUAGUCCUCGAGUUCUUCGUUUGCUGGGCGCCGUUGCACGUGAUCAAUACGUGGUACCUUUUCGCGCCCGAGCUGGUGUACUCGGUGGUCGGUAGCACCGGUAUUAGUCUGGUGCAGCUGCUGGCCUACGUCUCGAGCUGCUGCAAUCCCAUCACGUACUGUUUCAUGAACAGAAAAUUCCGCCAGGCAUUCCUCGGGCUCUUCGACUGCCAUCGCUGUUGGAGGUUGCAGACACAGCGAUAUCGCAAUGGCGACUACCGGAAAUGCCGGGCAAGUUGGCAAUAACAGCGAAUUAAGUGGAAACGACUCGACAGUGUAUCUGGGCAAAGCGUCCCUCGUCGCCAGAUCAGAGGUAGUACGGUUGCUGGAGGAGGAGGAUCGCGUCUAGUAUAAGUCGUGCGGAUUAUGCGACGUGGCGGCGCGACCGACUGUAUCUCUGCCCCAGCCGCGCGAGGAAGAGCAAGACUUUUUUUUGAAAAUAUCCUGGCGGCCGCCCGGCGACAGGAUCACUUCUCGCGCAAGUGGUAAGGAACUCACAUACGCUGGCCCGUCUCAUUGCUCAUCGAGAUCUUCCUGCGUGGACAAUCUCAACUUUCUUUAUGAUUGACUGAAGUGAAACAUUCGAUUCGUGAAACGCGAUUCUCAAUGUUCUACGACGUGUGUAUCUUUGGCCUAAUAGAAACUUCAGAUCUCAUUUUCUUAUAGUUUCAGUUAGUUGAUAAAAAUAAAAAUGUAUCUAUAUUAAGAUUAAAAAAAAAAAGGAACGCGUUGCAUCUUUCCGAAUUCGCGCUGAGAGUUAUUUUUGUAUUCUGUAUCGAAUUAAUCGUUCGCGCGGAUAACAAUUUAGCGUUUUGUACAUUAAUCGAAGAACGGGUGAAGAUCUUAUAGAUCAUAAUAAUUCUAUAUAAUAAUUCUACAUGUACAAGAAAAAUUAAUUUGUCAAACGUGUUAUAUCUUAACAAACUUGUAAAAUUGUUAAAAUUAAUAUUUGUCAGUAGAUAAUUAAAUAUAAUUAAUUAAUAUAUCCUUAAUAACAAUAAUCUACUGCAGAGUGAUGAAUUCGAACAUAUUAAAGAUUGUAUUUUUGCAUCGUAAUUUUUUUCUUAUCUUGAGUAUUAUGAUAAUAUGAUAACGCUAUAAAUAUUCGUAAUAUUAUAAAAAAUACCGUUUUCAGAAGAUUAAUAAUUAACCUAAUUUUACGAAAUAAUGUCUUAUACGUUUGGAUUAAAAAAAAUGACAAAAUGCUUUGAGCACUUUCGCAGGCGCGCUCUUAACUCGGAGCCAUAAAUUAUAUUUAUCUAAUAAACACAAUUUUAUGCGAAAAACAAACACAGUUAUGCUAUUUCUGCUUAACGCUUACUCAUUUAUGUUACUUACGUUAUUUUUAAGAGACGGUUUUAUAUUUCAUAUCCGCGGUAUCCAGUUAUUAGGUAUUUUACAUUUAUUGCAAUUUCAGCAUAGACCACUUUUAAUUUAAUUUUGCAUGGUUUCCUGCGAAAACGAUGAAAUUUCGCGCUUCGAGAAAUUCUCGGCACGUGGCAUUCAAGAAUCUUUGAUAAAGUACAUUAUUCAACGUGAAUUCAUAUAGAAAUGUGCUGUAUGAUAUGUAUCUAGUUGGCGUAUCUUUCAUCGUGCAUAUCUUUGAUACACCUGUUGCAUACGAUUCAUGGAUCUGUCAGAGAAUAACCCUUAAAUGAUAGCAUGAAGUAUACGAUCAGGGUGUUUGGUCGCACGACGCAUCAAAGCUGUACUCGCUGUUCUCUCAUUUUUAUACGAUGAUACUUCAAUGCAUUAUUGUUUGUGUAAUGCAAGCAUUUCUCGUGUAAACUCAGGUUGCGUAAUAAUUGCAUCUAUUUCAUAAAUCGUGUAACGUUUCGAAAGAUUUACUUCAUUUCUAUUGAAUUUAUUAUCAUUUUAAUAAAUUUUUAAAAAAUAUAUCUCAUUAACGAUACACCGUAUAGUAAUAUUUCAUUAUUCAAACGUCAGGUUAUGUAAAUAUGAAAUAAUGAGAAUAUCAAAGGCGGUAAGGAACAAAUUUUUAAACAAUGCGUUCAACGAAUAACUGUGUUUGUUUCGAUAUAUUUUUUAAUCAAUUUUUAUACAAUAUUUCAAUUGUACGUUAUUUAUAACAUACGUUAUUUACUUAUAUUUAAAAAGAUUCACAAAUACGUAUUUCUCUUUACAAAAGCUUUACGCGAUCGCUGCAUUAUAUGAAAAAUAUAGAAUACUGCGUUAAUUGUAUAAUUAUAUAAGACGAACAUCGCAGCAUUGUAAAAUAAUUAUUCGCGCAGAAAUGCAGAUUACAUUGUAAGUAAUUAAAAAAAAAACCCACGACGUUCUAUAUUCUUCUGAAAUGUUCAAGAAACAUUCGAAAGUUCUUCUUGCGAGAUGUGUAACAAAAUAAAUAAGAUUUGAUCAACAUUUACAACUAGAUAUUGUGCAGAAAUGUUUAAUAAACUUUUUCAACACAAUUA